UACGAAGGGGGCUAGCGUUGUUCGGAAUUACUGGGCGUAAAGGGUGCGUAGGCGGUCGGGUAAGUCUGACGUGAAAUCUCCAAGCUCAACUUGGAAAUGGCGUCGGAUACUAUUCGGCUCGAGGAAUGGAGGGGAGACUGGAAUUCUCGGUGUAGCAGUGAAAUGCGUAGAUAUCGAGAGGAACACCAGUGGCGAAGGCGAGUCUCUGGACAGAAACUGACGCUGAGGCGCGAAAGCUAGGGGAGCAAACAGG
rnacentral:rRNA from 1 species